GACGGAGGGUGCAAGUGUUAUCCGGAAUCACUGGGCGUAAAGCGUCUGUAGGUGGUUUAAAAAGUCUGCUGUUAAAAAUUGAAGCUUAACUUCAAAGAUGCCGUAGAAACUUUUAAACUAGAGUAUGAUAGGGGUAGAGGGAAUUUCCAGUGGAGCGGUAGAAAUGUGUAGAUAUUGGAAAGACCACCAAUGGCGAAGGCACUCUACUGGGCCAUUACUGACACUGAGAGACGAAAGCUAGGGGAGCAAAUGGG
rnacentral:rRNA from 1 species